rnacentral:rRNA from 1 species
CAGCAGCCGCGGUAAUACGUAGGGUGCAAGCGUUAAUCGGAAUUACUGGGCGUAAAGCGUGCGCAGGCGGUUUGUUAAGACAGAUGUGAAAUCCCCGGGCUCAACCUGGGAACUGCAUUUGUGACUGGCAAGCUAGAGUCUGGCAGAGGGGGGUGGAAUUCCGCGUGUAGCAGUGAAAUGCGUAGAUAUGCGGAGGAACACCGAUGGCGAAGGCAGCCCCCUGGGCCAACACUGACGCUCAUGCACGAAAGCGUGGGGAGCAAACAGGAUUAGAUACCCGAGUAGUCCCUGUCUCUUAUAA